UACGGGGGGGGCAAGCGUUGUUCGGAAUUACUGGGCGUAAAGGGCUCGUAGGCGGCCAACUAAGUCGGACGUGAAAUCCCCAGGCUCAACCUGGGAACUGCGUCCGAUACUGGAUGGCUUGAAUCCGGGAGAGGGAUGCAGGAUUCCAGGUGUAGCGGUGAAAUGCGUAGAUAUGACAUAGAACACCAAUUGCGAAGGCAGCUGGCUACACAAAUAUUGACACUGAGGCACGAAAGCGUGGGGAUCAAACAGG
rnacentral:rRNA from 1 species